UUGGAGAAAUCUAGAGGACACUGUGGAACGUCGACUGCUGGAGGAGUCCAGAUGGUACUGUGGAAGCUCGGACGGUCGAGGGAGUUCAGAAAGAUGCCGCACAAGGUCGGAAGCCGGAAGAGUCCUGGGAGGGUUGGCCUCUUACGAACUUCAGCUGGGGUUAUUUUAUACCCAACAAUAACCUUAACCCAUGUUGAUGCUAUACUUAAUUGAGAAUUAAGAAAUAUAUUUUAGAUC
rnacentral:lncRNA from 1 species